UUCCGGUUGAUCCUGCCGGAGGUCACCGUUAUCAGGUUUCGACUUAGCCAUGCGAGGCGUGAGUCAUCUGGACUCGCCGAACUGCUCAGUAACACGUAGUUAACCUAACCUCAAGUGGAGGAUAAUCCCGCGAAAGUGGGGCUAAUACUCCAUAGCUGUUGAAUGCUGGAAUGCUUUAACAGCCAAAGCCUCGGCGCUUGAGGAUGGGACUGCGACCUAUCAUGGUAGUUGUGAGUAUAAAAUACUCACAAGCCCGUAACGGGUAGGGGCCAUGAGAGUGGAAGCCUCGAGAUGCCUUCUGAGACAUGAAGGCAGGUCUACGGGACGCAGCAGGUACGAAAACUUUCCAAUAGCUUAACGGCUGAGAGGGGAAGCCUGAGUGACUAUGCACUGCAUAGUCUUUUGCUUUGCUUAAAAAGCAAGGCGAAUAAGUGGUGGGUAAGACGGGUGGCAGCCGCCGCGGUAAUACCCGCGCCACGAAUGGUGACCACGAUUAUUGGGUCUAAAGCGUCCGUAGCCGGUUCAACAAGUUCUUGGUUAAAUCCAGCAGUUGACUAUUGGAAUGCUGAGAAUACUGUUAGACUUGGGAUUGGGAAAGGAGAAAGGUAUUCCACGUGUAGGGGUUAAAUCCUUUAAUCCGUGGAAGACCUCCGGUGGCGAAGGCGUUUCUCUGGAACAAGUCCGACGGUGAGGGACGAAAGCUAGGGGAGCAAAUCUAAUCUUUCGAUAAAAAGAUGAGAGCUCAAAUGGGAUUAGAUACCCCAGUAGUCCUAGCUGUAAACGAUGUCCGUUUGAUGUUGCAAACUCUACGGGAGUUUGCAGUGUCGGAGCGUAGGUGUUAAACGGACCACCUGGGGAGUACGGCCGCAAGGUUGAAACUUAAAGGAAUUGGCGGG
rnacentral:rRNA from 1 species